AGUCUCGCUGACUUUAAGAGAAACGAAAGCCUUAAGCACAGUCAGUUUGGUGUAAUGGAACCCUCACUGAACUAGAACCCUGAGGAUGAUGCCGUCUGCUGAUUACAUUCUCUGCCACUCAGAACAACUGAGGCCAUUUUCUGUUCUGUAAAAUGGGAACUAAAAUACUUUCUGUAUCUCUUUUGUGGGGUAGUUGUAAGGAUCAAAUAUAGUAAAGAGUGAAAACACAUUAAUCUUAAGUGACACAAAGUUAUUUAAAGAAUGGAUUAGUGCUAUCCCAAUUAUUGACUUUUUUCCCCCUACGGUGGUCAUUUUUCUUUUUGAUUUUCAUUGAUGAUCUCUGCCCUCACUUCCUCUGAAUAAAGCCUUGGAACUUUUUUCAUAAUUGGAUACAAUUAGAAAGAAUCCCACAUCAAAUAGUGAGAUGCCUUAGCUAUUAUUAUUACGUUGUAAAAUGCCAAAGAAAACCAUUUAGGCAUGUGGGCCCCAUUUAGGGAUUUCUGUUUUAUAAGUCACGUUGGUGUAGAAGUGUGUGAGUAGAACUCCGCAAAUUAUACUUAGCAUUUACUCCUAAGUAAGCUGGUAAAUCUACGUGAAAGGAAGCCCAAGUCUCCAUUCUUGCUUCUAGUUCUCAUGCUUAUAAAGCGAACUGUGUCAGCCAAUUCCAGCAAAGCCAAAGGGGGAAGAUCUUUUUUGUAAGCUUCCUUUAACUGGCAACAUUUAGAGCACUACACUGAUAUCCCAACAACAUCGCAACGGCAACCUCAGGCAAGCCCUGCGCAUACCUUAACUUCCAGGCCUGGGCAGAGAACUUGGCUUGCACCACCAGGAGUUAUCACGUGAGCUAAUUACAAUGCUAAUUAGCCCAGUUUACCGGGACUGCUGUGCAUUUGUACACGAGGGUUCUUUGUUUGAUCUGCUACAUCAUAAGCUUACCAGCACGGAGGGAUAGCAUGUAUCGUUGAACGUGGAAGAACACACCUUCAUCUGUAUUAAUGAAGAAAACUACUGAAAACCAACAGACUAAUUAAGGGUAAUGAUGAACAAUUUUGAUCAGCAAUUAUUUUUUUUAAUAUCGAAGUUCGCUCCUGGAAAGAGUAGAAUGGGGAAGUUCAUCUUCCAGCUUUCUCCCCAGAAAGGUAGUGAGAGAGAGAUCCUGCUUCAUUUCCAUUUCUUCUCCCACAAACUGUUUUAACAUAUAAUUGAACGGAUGCCUUUAUUUCAAAAGAAAAAAAAAAUAAUUAUAGAGCUUGUUGGGAUCAUUUUCUGAAGA